CCGCACCCCUGUCUUCACGCACCACCGCUGGGCGGGCAGGAGAGGCCAGCGGUCCGUGGGCAGAAUGAGGAGAGCGGCCUGGUUCCCCGGGAAUGUCGGCCUAGGCCCAGCCCUGGAGAGCGCGACAUCACCACAUCCGGCACUUUCUGCAAGUCUUGGUCAUGAGAGACAAGAAAGACUGAGGAAUACAUUGGAAGAGCCUGACUAAGGAGCCAUGAUGACUAAGUGUAAUGUGGAAUCCUGAAGGAGAUCCUGGGACAGAAAAAGGACAUCACUGGAAAAACCUGGUGAAAUCCAAUGGGUUCUUUCCUGGAUUCUUCGCUAAAUGGUUCAAAUGACUCUUCAAUGAAUUCCUAACUGAAAUCCUGUUCCCAAACGUCACUGAAUUCUCCACCGGUGUGUCUCAAUCUGUGGGCAUUGUUUCAUGCAGAAGACAUUAAAUAAAAGGCAGUUGAGCAAAUACAAGCAAGAGACCGAACAUUUCAGCAAAGUCUACGGGCUCCAAACAGCCUUAGUUUGGAAGGCAAAAAAAUCCUCACAGCUUCCCCUACUGCAGCUUUGAUGACAGAUUCAACGGAAUAAGGCCAAGUGCCAAGGUAAAGCAUGAAAGAACCAUCUCAGUCCAGUCCCUACCUACUUUUCCUAAAUUAUUUCUUACCGAUAUCACUGGUGCACUUGAGGGACCAACCACAUGGAACCACUUAUCAUUC